CGGUAAUACGUAGGUGGCAAGCGUUAUCCGGAUUUAUUGGGCGUAAAGAGAGUGCAGGCGGUUUUCUAAGUCUGAUGUGAAAGCUUUCGGCUUAACCGGAGAAGUGCAUCGGAAACUGGAUAACUUGAGUGCAGAAGAGGGUAGUGGAACUCCAUGUGUAGCGGUGGAAUGCGUAGAUAUAUGGAAGAACACCAGUGGCGAAGGCGGCUACCUGGUCUGCAACUGACGCUGAGACUCGAAAGCAUGGGUAGCGAACAGGAUUAGAUACCCUGGUAGUCCAUGCCGUAAACGAUGAGUGCUAGGUGUUGGAGGGUUUCCGCCCUUCAGUGCCGGAGCUAACGCAUUAAGCACUCCGCCUGGGGAGUACGACCGCAAGGUUGAAACUCAAAGGAAUUGACGGGGGCCCGCACAAGCGGUGGAGCAUGUGGUUUAAUUCGAAGCUACGCGAAGAACCUUACCAGGUCUUGACAUCUUGCGCCAACCCUAGAGAUAGGGCGUUUCCUUCGGGAACGCAAUGACAGGUGGUGCAUGGUCGUCGUCAGCUCGUGUCGUGAGAUGUUGGGUUAAGUCCCGCAACGAGCGCAACCCUUGUUACUAGUUGCCAGCAUUAAGUUGGGCACUCUAGUGAGACUGCCGGUGACAAACCGGAGGAAGGUGGGGACGACGUCAGAUCAUCAUGCCCCUUAUGACCUGGGCUACACACGUGCUACAAUGGACGGUACAACGAGUCGCGAACUCGCGAGGGCAAGCAAAUCUCUUAAAACCGUUCUCAGUUCGGACUGCAGGCUGCAACUCGCCUGCACGAAGUCGGAAUCGCUAGUAAUCGCGGAUCAGCAUGCCGCGGUGAAUACGUUCCCGGGCCUUGUACACACCGCCCGUCACACCAUGAGAGUUUGUAACACCCAAAGUCGGUGGGGUAACC
rnacentral:rRNA from 4 species